rnacentral:rRNA from 1 species
CAAUAGCGUAUAUUAAAGUUGUUGCGGUUAAAAAGCUCGUAGUUGGAUUUCGGCGGACAGGGGGCGGUUCGAUAUUUGUCGCUACUGCCCCAUUUGUCCGUGUUUUUGGCGGAGGUUUCAGGGUGCUCUUCACCGAGUGUCCUGGGAUGUCGUCAGGUUUACUUUGAAAAAAUUAGAGUGCUCAAAGCAGGCUUUACACGCUUGAAUAUUCGUGCAUGGAAUAAUGGAAUAGGACGUCGUUUCUAUUUUGUUGGUUUUCGGAAAUCGACGUAAUGAUUAACAGGGACAGUCGGGGGCAUUAGUAUUCAGACGACAGAGGUGAAAUUCUUGGACCGUCUGAAGACUAACUACUGCGAAAGCAUUUGCCAAGAAUGUUUUCAUUAA